rnacentral:rRNA from 1 species
GAUGAACGCUGGCGGCGUGCCUAAUACAUGCAAGUCGAGCGAACAGACGAGGAGCUUGCUCCUCUGACGUUAGCGGCGGACGGGUGAGUAACACGUGGAUAACCUACCUAUAAGACUGGGAUAACUUCGGGAAACCGGAGCUAAUACCGGAUAAUAUAUUGAACCGCAUGGUUCAAUAGUGAAAGACGGUUUUGCUGUCACUUAUAGAUGGAUCCGCGCCGCAUUAGCUAGUUGGUAAGGUAACGGCUUACCAAGGCGACGAUGCGUAGCCGACCUGAGAGGGUGAUCGGCCACACUGGAACUGAGACACGGUCCAGACUCCUACGGGAGGCAGCAGUAGGGAAUCUUCCGCAAUGGGCGAAAGCCUGACGGAGCAACGCCGCGUGAGUGAUGAAGGUCUUCGGAUCGUAAAACUCUGUUAUUAGGGAAGAAUAAAUGUGUAAGUAACUAUGCACGUCUUGACGGUACCUAAUCAGAAAGCCACGGCUAACUACGUG